GGCUGAGAUUCACUGUGAUUUCAUGCUUUAGCAGGCCUCUUCGGUGCCUAAAGAAUCUUCAGAAUUCGCCGUGGGCAGGGUUGCGAAUGAGCGAGCGAGCCAGAAUCCGUGCUCGCUCAUUCAUGAGCAUGAGGACUUAACAGGUAGCUCGUGCUCGCUCAUGCUCAACGCAUGCGCUCGCGCUCAAUGAGCGCUCAUCAGCAAUACAGCAAGCAGCAGCCGUAAUGGUUCCGAACAAAGGGUCCUCCACAACGCACGAUGCAAGAAUACAGCGCACGCUAUUGAAUGUUGCCCAUACCGCCGGCCGCGGCCAUGAUCUAGAGAGUAUCUCAUCCCCGGAAAAGCAGAAGAAACGGUAAACUGUUGACCACGAGCAGUCAACUAGACAAAAAAAACAUUUCUAAAAUUUAGUGUACAACCUAAAAAUAUUACAUACAUCUAAAAAAUCAUGAUAUUGAGUGAUAUAAUAAGUAACUUAAAUACAACAAGUAACUUACAAAACAA